UAGGGAAUCUUCCACAAUGGACGCAAGUCUGAUGGAGCAACGCCGCGUGAGUGAAGAAGGUCUUCGGAUCGUAAAGCUCUGUUGUUGGUGAAGAAGGAUAGAGGCAGUAACUGGUCUUUAUUUGACGGUAAUUAACCAGAAAGUCACGGCUAACUACGUGCCAGCAGCCGCGGUAAUACGUAGGUGGCAAGCGUUGUCCGGAUUUAUUGGGCGUAAAGCGAGCGCAGGCGGAAUGAUAAGUCUGAUGUGAAAGCCCACGGCUCAACCGUGGAACUGCAUCGGAAACUGUCAUUCUUGAGUGCAGAAGAGGAGAGUGGAACUCCAUGUGUAGCGGUGGAAUGCGUAGAUAUAUGGAAGAACACCAGUGGCGAAGGCGGCUCUCUGGUCUGCAACUGACGCUGAGGCUCGAAAGCAUGGGUAGCGAACAGGAUUAGAUACCCUGGUAGUCCAUGCCGUAAACGAUGAGCGCUAGGUGUUGGGGACUUUCCGGUCCUCAGUGCCGCAGCAAACGCAUUAAGCGCUCCGCCUGGGGAGUACGACCGCAAGGUUGAAACG
rnacentral:rRNA from 1 species